UACGGGGGGGAGCAAGCGUUGUUCGGAUUUACUGGGCGUAAAGGGCGCGUAGGCGGCCACCGCAAGUCGACUGUGAAAUCUCCGGGCUUAACCCGGAAAGGUCAGCCGAUACUGCGGGGCUAGAGUGCAGAAGGGGCAACUGGAAUUCUCGGUGUAGCGGUGAAAUGCGUAGAUAUCAAGAGGAACACCUGCGGCGAAGGCGGGUUGCUGGGCCGACACUGACGCUGAGGCGCGAAAGCUAGGGGAGCGAACGGG
rnacentral:rRNA from 1 species